rfam:Triticum aestivum genome assembly, contig: Triticum_aestivum_CS42_TGACv1_scaffold_577354_7BL
AAUCUACUCCCUCCAUCCAAAAAUACUUGUCCUUAAAAUGGACAAAAAUAGAUGUAUCUAGAACUAAAAUAUGUCUAGAUACAUCCCCUUUUAUCCGUUUUGAUGACAAGUAUUUCCAGAUGAAGGGAGUAGUUC